rnacentral:rRNA from 1 species
AAUGAACGUUGGCGGCGUGGAUUAGGCAUGCAAGUCGAGCGAGAACCCCGCAAGGGGGGACAGCGGCGAAAGGGACAGUAAUGUGUAGAUUAUCUGCCUUCAGGUCCGGGAUAGCAGCGGGAAACUGCAGGUAAUACCGGAUAACAUCUCCGGAUCAAAGGUGUGAUUCCGCCUGAGGAUGAGUGUGCCUCCUAUUAGCUAGUGGGUGGGGUAAUGGCCUACCACGGCAUUGAUGGGUAGCAGGUGUGAGAGCACGACCUGCGUCAUUGGGACUGAGACACUGCCAAGACGCGUACGGGUGGCGGCAGUCGAGACUCCUCGGCAAUGGGCGCAAGCCUGACCGGGCGACGCCGCGUGUGGGAUGAAGGCCUUCGGGUUGUAAACCACUGUCAGAGGGGAUGAAAUGCAGGUGGGUUCUCCCAUCUGUUUGACAUAGCCUCAGAGGAAGGACGGGCUAAGUUCGUG